rnacentral:rRNA from 1 species
GACAGAGGAUGCAAGCGUUACUCGGAAUUACUGGGCGUAAAGCGUGCGUAGGUGGUUUGUUAAGUCUGUUGUGAAAGCCCCGGGCUCAACCUGGGAAUGGCAAUGGAUACUGGCAGGCUAGAGUGCGGUAGAGGGUAGUGGAAUUCCCGGUGUAGCGGUGAAAUGCGUAGAGAUCGGGAGGAACACCAGUGGCGAAGGCGGCUACCUGGACCAGCACUGACACUGAGGCACGAAAGCGUGGGGAGCAAACAGG